rnacentral:rRNA from 1 species
ACCAGCUCUUCAAGUGGUUGGGAUAAUUAUUGGGCUUAAAGUGUCCGUAGCCGGUUUAGUAAGUUUCUGGUAAAAUCGGGUAGCUUAACUAUCCGUAUGCUAGGAAUACUGCUAUACUAGAGGGCGGGAGAGGUCUGAGGUACUACAGGGGUAGGGGUGAAAUCUUAUAAUCCUUGUAGGACCACCAGUGGCGAAGGCGUCAGACUGGAACGCGCCUGACGGUGAGGGACGAAAGCCAGGGGAGCGAACCGGAUUAGAUACCCGGGUAGUCCUGGCCGUAAACGAUGCAUACUAGGUGAUGGCACGGCCAUGAGCCGUGUCAGUGCCGUAGGGAAACCGUUAAGUGUGCCGCCUGGGAAGUACGGUCGCAAGGCUAAAACUUAAAGGAAUUGGCGGGGGAGCACCACAAGGGGUGAAGCCUGCGGUUU